GAGUCAGGGAGACCUGGGUUCAAUUCCCAGCUCCUCCACUAAAAAAUGGGGUGGCCUCAGAGAAGUCGCUUAUUCUCCUCAAGCCUCAGUUUCUACAUCUGUAAAAUGGGAGACUAAAGCUCUAUUUGACUUCACUGGAAACAGCAAACUGGAGCUGAAUUUCAAAGCUGGAGAUGUGAUCUUCCUCCUCAGUCGGAUCAACAAAGACUGGCUGGAGGGCACUGUCCGGGGAGCCACGGGCAUCUUCCCUCUCUCCUUCGUGAAGAUCCUCAAAGACUUCCCUGAGGAGGACGACCCCACCAACUGGCUGCGUUGCUACUACUACGAAGACACCAUCAGCACCAUCAAGUCUGUGGCCUGGGAGGGAGGGGCCUGUCCAGCCUUCCUGCCAUCCCUACGACCACCGCCCCUCACAUCACCUUCUCAUGGGUCCCUCUCCCACUCCAAAGCCCCCAGUGGCUCCCAGAUGAGCCACAAUGCUGUAACAAGCCAUCAACGUCCAGGGUGGCCUGGCCAGCCUCAUUCCCCUUUCCCCCACCCCACACCCCACUUCCAGCCUGAUGCCUCCUUACUCCAGCCUGUCACCCCCUUAGGGACAUCGCGGUGGAGGAAGAUCUCAGCAGCACUCCCCUAUUGAAAGACCUGCUGGAGCUCACAAGGCGGGAGUUCCAGAGAGAGGACAUAGCUCUGAAUUACCGGGACGCUGAGGGGGAUCUGGUUCGGCUGCUGUCGGAUG
rnacentral:misc_RNA from 1 species